AAAGAAAUCAACCGAGAUUCCCCCAGUAGCGGCGAGCGAACGGGGAGGAGCCCAGAGCCUGAAUCAGUGUGUGUGUUAGUGGAAGCGUCUGGAAAGGCGCGCGAUACAGGGUGACAGCCCCGUACACAAAAAUGCACAUACUGUGAGCUCGAUGAGUAGGGCGGGACACGUGGUAUCCUGUCUGAAUAUGGGGGGACCAUCCUCCAAGGCUAAAUACUCCUGACUGACCGAUAGUGAACCAGUACCGUGAGGGAAAGGCGAAAAGAACCCCGGCGAGGGGAGUGAAAAAGAACCUGAAACCGUGUACGUACAAGCAGUGGGAGCCUCUUAAUGGGGUGACUGCGUACCUUUUGUAUAAUGGGUCAGCGACUUAUAUUCUGUAGCAAGGUUAACCGAAUAGGGGAGCCGAAGGGAAACCGAGUCUUAACUGGGCGUUAAGUUGCAGGGUAUAGACCCGAAACCCGGUGAUCUAGCCAUGGGCAGGUUGAAGGUUGGGUAACACUAACUGGAGGACCGAACCGACUAAUGUUGAAAAAUUAGCGGAUGACUUGUGGCUGGGGGUGAAAGGCCAAUCAAACCGGGAGAUAGCUGGUUCUCCCCGAAAGCUAUUUAGGUAGCGCCUCGUGAAUUCAUCUCCGGGGGUAGAGCACUGUUUCGGCAAGGGGGUCAUCCCGACUUACCAACCCGAUGCAAACUGCGAAUACCGGAGAAUGUUAUCACGGGAGACACACGGCGGGUGCUAACGUCCGUCGUGAAGAGGGAAACAACCCAGACCGCCAGCUAAGGUCCCAAAGUCAUGGUUAAGUGGGAAACGAUGUGGGAAGGCCCAGACAGCCAGGAUGUUGGCUUAGAAGCAGCCAUCAUUUAAAGAAAGCGUAAUAGCUCACUGGUCGAGUCGGCCUGCGCGGAAGAUGUAACGGGGCUAAACCAUGCACCGAAGCUGCGGCAGCGACACUAUGUGUUGUUGGGUAGGGGAGCGUUCUGUAAGCCUGUGAAGGUGUACUGUGAGGUAUGCUGGAGGUAUCAGAAGUGCGAAUGCUGACAUAAGUAACGAUAAAGCGGGUGAAAAGCCCGCUCGCCGGAAGACCAAGGGUUCCUGUCCAACGUUAAUCGGGGCAGGGUGAGUCGACCCCUAAGGCGAGGCCGAAAGGCGUAGUCGAUGGGAAACAGGUUAAUAUUCCUGUACUUGGUGUUACUGCGAAGGGGGGACGGAGAAGGCUAUGUUGGCCGGGCGACGGUUGUCCCGGUUUAAGCGUGUAGGCUGGUUUUCCAGGCAAAUCCGGAAAAUCAAGGCUGAGGCGUGAUGACGAGGCACUACGGUGCUGAAGCGACAAAUGCCCUGCUUCCAGGAAAAGCCUCUAAGCAUCAGGUAACAUCAAAUCGUACCCCAAACCGACACAGGUGGUCAGGUAGAGAAUACCAAGGCGCUUGAGAGAACUCGGGUGAAGGAACUAGGCAAAAUGGUGCCGUAACUUCGGGAGAAGGCACGCUGAUAUGUAGGUGAAGCGACUUGCUCGUGGAGCUGAAAUCAGUCGAAGAUACCAGCUGGCUGCAACUGUUUAUUAAAAACACAGCACUGUGCAAACACGAAAGUGGACGUAUACGGUGUGACGCCUGCCCGGUGCCGGAAGGUUAAUUGAUGGGGUUAGCGGUAACGCGAAGCUCUUGAUCGAAGCCCCGGUAAACGGCGGCCGUAACUAUAACGGUCCUAAGGUAGCGAAAUUCCUUGUCGGGUAAGUUCCGACCUGCACGAAUGGCGUAAUGAUGGCCAGGCUGUCUCCACCCGAGACUCAGUGAAAUUGAACUCGCUGUGAAGAUGCAGUGUACCCGCGGCAAGACGGAAAGACCCCGUGAACCUUUACUAUAGCUUGACACUGAACAUUGAGCCUUGAUGUGUAGGAUAGGUGGGAGGCUUUGAAGUGUGGACGCCAGUCUGCAUGGAGCCGACCUUGAAAUACCACCCUUUAAUGUUUGAUGUUCUAACGUGGGCCCCUUACCGGGGUUGCGGACAGUGUCUGGUGGGUAGUUUGACUGGGGCGGUCUCCUCCUAAAGAGUAACGGAGGAGCACGAAGGUUGGCUAAUCCUGGUCGGACAUCAGGAGGUUAGUGCAAUGGCAUAAGCCAGCUUGACUGCGAGCGUGACGGCGCGAGCAGGUGCGAAAGCAGGUCAUAGUGAUCCGGUGGUUCUGAAUGGAAGGGCCAUCGCUCAACGGAUAAAAGGUACUCCGGGGAUAACAGGCUGAUACCGCCCAAGAGUUCAUAUCGACGGCGGUGUUUGGCACCUCGAUGUCGGCUCAUCACAUCCUGGGGCUGAAGUAGGUCCCAAGGGUAUGGCUGUUCGCCAUUUAAAGUGGUACGCGAGCUGGGUUUAGAACGUCGUGAGACAGUUCGGUCCCUAUCUGCCGUGGGCGCUGGAGAACUGAGGGGGGCUGCUCCUAGUACGAGAGGACCGGAGUGGACGCAUCACUGGUGUUCGGGUUGUCAUGCCAAUGGCACUGCCCGGUAGCUAAAUGCGGAAGAGAUAAGUGCUGAAAGCAUCUAAGCACGAAACUUGCCCCGAGAUGAGUUCUCCCUGACUCCUUGAGAGUCCUGAAGGAACGUUGAAGACGACGACGUUGAUAGGCCGGGUGUGUAAGCGCAGCGAUGCGUUGAGCUAACCGGUACUAAUGAACCGUGAGGCUUAACCUU
rnacentral:rRNA from 1 species